ACACAUGCAAGUCGAGGGGCAGCAUAAUGGAUAGCAAUAUCUAUGGUGGCGACCGGCGCACGGGUGCGUAACGCGUAUGCAACCUACCUUUAACAGGGGGAUAACACUGAGAAAUUGGUACUAAUACCCCAUAAUAUCAUAGAAGGCAUCUUUUAUGGUUGAAAAUUCCGAUGGUUAGAGAUGGGCAUGCGUUGUAUUAGCUAGUUGGUGGGGUAACGGCUCACCAAGGCGACGAUACAUAGGGGGACUGAGAGGUUAACCCCCCACACUGGUACUGAGACACGGACCAGACUCCUACGGGAGGCAGCAGUGAGGAAUAUUGGUCAAUGGACGCAAGUCUGAACCAGCCAUGCCGCGUGCAGGAUGACGGCUCUAUGAGUUGUAAACUGCUUUUGUACGAGGGUAAACGCAGAUACGUGUAUCUGUCUGAAAGUAUCGUACGAAUAAGGAUCGGCUAACUCCGUGCCAGCAGCCGCGGUAAUACGGAGGAUUCAAGCGUUAUCCGGAUUUAUUGGGUUUAAAGGGUGCGUAGGCGGUUUGAUAAGUUAGAGGUGAAAUUUCGGGGCUCAACCCUGAACGUGCCUCUAAUACUGUUGAGCUAGAGAGUAGUUGCGGUAGGCGGAAUGUAUGGUGUAGCGGUGAAAUGCUUAGAGAUCAUACAGAACACCGAUUGCGAAGGCAGCUUACCAAACUAUAUCUGACGUUGAGGCACGAAAGCGUGGGGAGCAAACAGGAUUAGAUACCCUGGUAGUCCACGCAGUAAACGAUGAUAACUCGUUGUCGGCGAUACACAGUCGGUGACUAAGCGAAAGCGAUAAGUUAUCCACCUGGGGAGUACGUUCGCAAG
rnacentral:rRNA from 1 species